UAAUUUUAGACAGAACCAGCUCAUGUCAAUGUGAUCUAAAUGCAGAAGUCCAUUUACCGGAGAUAACUGUAAGAGGGAGAGGGAGAGGGAGAGGAACAGGGCGGAGAGGCAGAAGUGUUGGAGGUGCAGUCAGGGCAAGGAGAGGCAGAGGACCUACCUGGAGUGAUGGCUCAAUAGAGGACGAAGAAAGAGUGGAAGCCCUCCAAAGGAACCCGAGGGCUGUUACCGAGACUUCUUCAAGAGAUGAUCCUUGAAGAACACAGAGCUCUCCACCCUUCUGCUGGAGAGGCAGCCAGUCCUGGUCUUUGAUGCCUUGAUGAUGCAUCAGCGCAGACAUGGUGCACCGGAGUGCCAGGAGUACCUUGGUGUACUUGUGGUAACUGUAGGGAAGCGAACAGUGUGAGCCUACUGCCACACUUCUCCCAGUACUGCCUUGAAGAAGGCUUUAUUCGCAUUCACAGGCAGUACCGGGAGGACAUUAUGGCAUUAGGCAACAUCAGGGAGCCUGGGGAUGACAACAGGGAGGACCACAAUGGUGCCUAUAGACACUUCAUCUAUUGGCAACAUGGACCUUUAGGCCAGGGAAACCAACUUGUCGUCCCUAGUUGUGUUUGGAGGAUUAGA